rnacentral:rRNA from 1 species
GACGAACGCUGGCGGCGUGCUUAACACAUGCAAGUCGAACGGAAAGGCCCUUCGGGGUACCUGUGUGGCGAACGGGUUAGUAACACGUGGGUGAUCUGCUCUGCACUUUGUUUUUAGCCUGGGAAACUGUGUCUAAUACUGAAUAGGUCCACCCUCCUCCUUGUGUGUGGUGGAAAGCUUUUGCGGUGUGGGAUGGGCUUGCGGCCUAUCAGCUCGUUUGUGGGGUAAUGGCCUACCAAGGCGACGACGGGUAGCCGGCCUGAGAGGGUGACCGGCCACACGGGGACUGAGAGACGGCCCAGACGCGUACGGGAGGCAGCAGGGGGGAGUAUUGCACAAUGGGCGCGAGUCUGAUGCAGCGACGCCGCGUGAGGGAUGACGGCCUGCGGGUUAUGAACCUCUUUCAGUAGAGACGAAGCGCAAGUGACGGUACCUAAAGAAGAAGCACCGGCCAACUACGUG